rnacentral:misc_RNA from 1 species
CAAACUUUUCACUUUUUGAAUCUUUCCACUGACUUUUUAUGUAACAAAAGUUGCAUUGUACAGAUCCACAUCUUCAAAUUGUAUUUAAACAUCUCGACACAGAUACACACGUCUGAACAUUCUUACAGUGAGAUAGUAAUGCCAAUAUCAGAAUCUCAGCAACUUUGCACAUAAAACUUAUGUUGCUCGGACUCUUCAAAAAUGUAUGUCGAAUCCUGCAAAAGUGGUGCACUUUUAGCAGAUCCGACAUGGUUUGUGGUAGCAUUUUUGGAGAGUCUUGAACAACUAAAUAUAAGACCAUUGCAUAUUAUCUAGUGAGAUAGUACACCACCAGAAAAAGAACCACAAACGAGGCGACGAGUGUAAACAUCCUUCGGCUUGAUUUUGUCUCAAAAACCAUCCUAAAUUUAUCCAUGGUUCCAGAUAAAACACCUCUUGAAGAAUCCAUAUCAUUGCCCAUUCUGUCGAGCAUCCGGUUAUGAGUAUCCACUUCUUCAUGUAUGUCACCUGACAACUUUUUGAGAAAACUAACUCUAUCUUGCAGCCCAUCGAUUGCCCUCUCAUUCUCUUGUUCAUCAAUUUCGUGCGAAGAGUAUGAUGAAGAAGCCCUUAUGCCACCUUCCUCAAUUCCAUCAAAUAGAGCAGCUCUAUUGCCACGUUCCCUUCGUGAGUUCAUAUCUUCCAAUGAUCAAUCUAUUCAAUUUGAAACUCCGGUUGAUGAUCAGUAGUCAGGAAUCCUCCAAUUAAUCGCAAAAUAGAUCAAAAUACUCUGGAGCUGAGUAACAAAGCCGGUGGCGGCGGCGGCGGCGGAGAGGAGAAGCACUAGGAGGUGAAAAGGCCGGAGAAG